rnacentral:rRNA from 1 species
UACGAAGGGGGCUAGCGUUGCUCGGAAUCACUGGGCGUAAAGCGCACGUAGGCGGGUCUUUAAGUCAGGGGUGAAAUCCCGGAGCUCAACUCCGGAACUGCCUUUGAUACUGGAGAUCUUUGAGUCCGGGAGAGGUGAGUGGAACUCCGAGUGUAGAGGUGAAAUUCGUAGAUAUUCGGAAGAACACCAGUGGCGAAGGCGGCUCACUGGCCCGGUACUGACGCUGAGGUGCGAAAGCGUGGGGAGCAAACAGGG